GACAGAGGUCCCGAGCGUUGUUCGGAUUCAUUGGGCGUAAAGGGUGUGUAGGAGGCCAGGUAAGUCAGGUGUGAAAUCUCAGAGCUUAACUCUGAAACUGCGCUUGAUACUGCUUGGCUAGAGGAUCGGAGGGGGUAUCGGAAUUUAUGGUGUAGCAGUGAAAUGCGUAGAUAUCAUAAGGAACACCGGUGGCGAAGGCGGAUACCUGGAAGAUUCCUGACUCUGAAACACGAAAGCCAGGGGAG
rnacentral:rRNA from 1 species